GUGGGGAAUUUUGGACAAUGGGCGCAAGCCUGAUCCAGCCAUGCCGCGUGCAGGAUGAAGGCCUUCGGGUUGUAAACUGCUUUUGUACGGAACGAAAAGGUGCCUUCUAAUAAAGGGCGCUCAUGACGGUACCGUAAGAAUAAGCACCGGCUAACUACGUGCCAGCAGCCGCGGUAAUACGUAGGGUGCGAGCGUUAAUCGGAAUUACUGGGCGUAAAGCGUGCGCAGGCGGUUUUGUAAGACAGAGGUGAAAUCCCCGGGCUCAACCUGGGAACUGCCUUUGUGACUGCAAGGCUGGAGUGCGGCAGAGGGGGAUGGAAUUCCGCGUGUAGCAGUGAAAUGCGUAGAUAUGCGGAGGAACACCGAUGGCGAAGGCAAUCCCCUGGGCCUGCACUGACGCUCAUGCACGAAAGCGUGGGGAGCAAACAGGAUUAGAAACCCCGGUAGUCC
rnacentral:rRNA from 1 species